rfam:Variovorax sp. HW608 genome assembly, chromosome: I
CGCCUUGUGCCUGAAAGGGCGACACCGAUGAGGUGGAGCGAGAAGUCAGCAGAGGUUGUAGUAGUCGGGGCGACCCGACGAAGAAC